rnacentral:rRNA from 1 species
GUACAAGCAGUGGGAGCACCCUUCGGGGUGUGACUGCGUACCUUUUGUAUAAUGGGUCAGCGACUUAUAUUCUGUAGCAAGGUUAACCGAAUAGGGGAGCCGGAGGGAAACCGAGUCUUAAUUGGGCGUUAAGUUGCAGGGUAUAGACCCGAAACCCGGUGAUCUAGCCAUGGGCAGGUUGAAGGUUGGGUAACACUAACUGGAGGACCGAACCGACUAAUGUUGAAAAAUUAGCGGAUGACCUGUGGCUGGGGGUGAAAGGCCAAUCAAACCGGGAGAUAGCUGGUUCUCCCCGAAAGCUAUUUAGGUAGCGCCUCGUGAAUUCAUCUCCGGGGGUAGAGCACUGUUUCGGCUAGGGGGCCAUCCCGGCUUACCAACCCGAUGCAAACUGCGAAUACCGGAGAAUGUUAUCACGGGAGACACACGGCGGGUGCUAACGUCCGUCGUGAAGAGGGAAACAACCCAGACCGCCAGCUAAGGUCCCAAAGUCAUGGUUAAGUGGGAAACGAUGUGGGAAGGCCCAGACAGCCAGGAUGUUGGCUUAGAAGCAGCCAUCAUUUAAAGAAAGCGUAAUAGCUCACUGGUCGAGUCGGCCUGCGCGGAAGAUGUAACGGGGCUAAACCAUGCACCGAAGCUGCGGCAGCGACACUGUGUGUUGUUGGGUAGGGGAGCGUUCUGUAAGCCUGUGAAGGUGUGUCGUGAGGCAUGCUGGAGGUAUCAGAAGUGCGAAUGCUGACAUAAGUAACGAUAAAGCGGGUGAAAAGCCCGCUCGCCGGAAGACCAAGGGUUCCUGUCCAACGUUAAUCGGGGCAGGGUGAGUCGACCCCUAAGGCGAGGCCGAAAGGCGUAGUCGAUGGGAAACGGGUUAAUAUUCCCGUACUUGGUGUUACUGCGAAGGGGGGACGGAGAAGGCUAUGUUGGCCGGGCGACGGUUGUCCCGGUUUAAGCGUGUAGGUGUGUGUUCCAGGUAAAUCCGGUUCACUUUAACACUGAGGCGUGACGACGAGGCACUACGGUGCUGAAGCAACAAAUGCCCUGCUUCCAGGAAAAGCCUCUAAGCAUCAGGUAACAUCAAAUCGUACCCCA